rnacentral:lncRNA from 1 species
UUUUUCCUUUGCCUCUGACCCUUUCUUCUGCAUUUUUUCUUCUGUUUUUCCUUGACUGACCUCAGAGCGAGAAAUGGGGACGCGGGGGAAGGAGAGGAGGCGAUUUUGCUUGCCGGAGGCUGCCUUCCCCGUCCGGUGAGCUUCCCAUUCGUUUUCUGGUAUCCCCGUCCUACCUCCUCCGUGCGGCCCUCGCGGGGUCGGCGUCGUCUGUUCCUUCCACCUCGACGGCGACGGCGAGGCGAGCGGCGCGUGCUGGCCCGGCCCUCGAGGCGCCCACCGGGAGACCCUAGAGACGGCGCCGGGGAUCGUCUCCGGCCUUGUCCUCUGUCUCCUCUCACCUCCUCCCGCUCCGCAAGUUCUCCGCUGAGCCGCGGCCGCCGGAGGAGGGAGGCGGAGCGGAGAAAGCUUGGGGGCGGCGGCGGCGGAGCACCUCGGCGGCUCGGCUUCCCUCUGCCACCCGCCUGAUUCUCUUCUGCCGUGGUUAAUUUCUUUUCCCGUCCAAUCUCUUCUGCAGUGGUCGAUUCCCCUAUCUCCCGCUCAAUUCUCUUCUGCAGUAGUCGAUUUCCUCCCGAUUCCCCCAAAACUCCCGACAAUUCACCCUGGGCAAGCGCCACUAGCACCCCAGUCGAUGCACAAGCAGGCGGGGCGUCACUCUUAACUUAAAAUUUCUGGGUGUCGCUCCCAGUCGUCGUGUCCAGCGCGACUGGACGGCGUUAGCGUCUUCUAGGCGACGUUUAGACGAUGACAUGAAAACCAUGCACUUGGCACAUAUUGUCAUAUAUGCUUCUUGUAUUUAGCUUGCUCUGUGUGUAAGCUAAUUUGGUUGCAGCUACUAUAUGCAGGAUGAAGAACUUGCACGGUAAGUGUCUAUGCUGCUGUUUGUAGUUCUCUCUUUCGGUAUAAGAAUGUUUCACUUCACUAAGAUUUUUGGGACUCUAGUGUUGAUUGGUAAGUUUUUGAAAUCAAGUGUCUAUGCUGCUGUUUGUAGCUCUUCCUUUUGGUAUAGUAAUGUUUCUGUUCACUAAGAUUUUUCAGACUGAAGUGUUGACUGGCUAGUCUUUGAAAUGGACUUGAAACUUUCAUUUUUCUGAAAGCAUUGGCCAUUUUGUAUUUUCUACUGAAGCGCUGGAGGACUACUUUUAUCAUUAGAUUCUGUCUUUUCAUGUUAUUACCAGUUGAAAACCCACUUUACCCUUCUCCUGGACUCAACUAAGCUUGCUAAGGCUGCUUAGAUUUAGAGUUAUGUAAUGCUUUUCUCAACUAUAUUCUUAUUCUAACAUCAUCACUAGAUAAGGAUGUGUACUUAUGAAAAGAUGCCCUUGUACAUGUUUGGAUUGAGAUAGAUUCAAAUUGCACUCUGUAUAAGUUCUAAAAGCAAUGAUAAUUGCACCGUUGCAUUUUCAGAUUUCUGUAUAAUUUCAAAUAUUACGCAUCUAGCUUCUUUUCGAUUUUGACAUUUUUGUUAAAUGCUCUGUCUAUAUCCUCUACCAAGAUUUUUUGAAUUUGAUUUGCACCCAUUUCUUAUGGUUGCAAUUGUAGCCUUUACCUAUAUUUUUAAUAGUUUUUCUGCAAUUACAUCCUUUGAUUCUGAAGCUAAAUAACCUAAGCCAAUAUAUGUUGAACUGUAGUAAUCAAACCAUGUAUUGAAGGUUUCGGGUUGAGGUUUGGGUGUUAGGGGACAUGUUAACUCAUCUACAAGCUUCAAAUGGCCACCAAUUCCGAUUUGCUGUGUAUUUGCUAGGAUCGGCACCAUGCUGCUCAUAAUAUCACCAUUUGGUAGGUCAAUGAAAUCUAUUGGUAAGCAACAAUGCUAGCAAAAGAACUUGGUUAAACUUGAGUUAGCAAAACAGAUCUGAUCAUGGUUCCUCGUUUCUGUUGUUUCUCCCUGCUGCAGCGACGUAGGGGGAAUGAGAUCAAGGGGAGCAGGAGCAAACACAAUACCUUGGCGUCUCCAUGUUGAGGUUAGUCCCCAUUCGCCUUGACCUUCCAGUCCCCGCUGGUGCUCUUCUUCUUCUUCCUUUCUUUUUUUGUUUUUUUCCUAUUAUUUUUCUUAGCCGCCAUGGCCUACGGACAUCUAUCUCAGUGAGGAUCUGUGUAUUUCCUCCCCUCGAGCUUUUCUCUAGGAUUCCAUAAUACAGUGGCAAUAUGUAUUAAAUGGGCUAGAUCUUUAAUGGGCAUGUUCACUUCAUUAUUGGGCUUCAUUAAUUCUGUUAAAUAAAACUGGCAUGUGCGUAGUUUAGUCUUCUUAUUUCUUACAAUGGCCAAUCUGAACCUUUUGUCUAACUCUCUGUCUCUUUGUUCUUUUUUGAACUUGCAUAGACUACUUUUUGAUUCAGAAUUUACAAAUUAGUAAUUCUGAACCCUCUUCUGUUUGUUCAGGUAUUAUGUUGUUAAAUUUGUUUUGGGGUUUUCCAGUCAUGUUGAUUUUUGCAGUCAUUUGCAACUCCACCUUUUGUCUGCCUGUGUUAUUUUGGCUGUUAGCAGCUGCAAUUACAGUUUCCCAAACAUAUAUAACCCCAAUUGAAUUUUGAUUUUUUGAAACCUUUGAAAUUGGGAUACAGGGGCCAGUUACUGGUUUGACCGUCUAUGGAAUUGAAUUGAAAUAGUCCAGUUCAUUUUUUAUUGCAAUUACUACUUGCAACCAAGGUUCUUAUGAAGUGCAAUUGCAUUUGUUCACUACUGGAAUUCCACUCUAGUUUGUGUUGUUCCUUUUUUUGUUAGAUUUUUAGCCUUUGUUCUUUGAAGAUGAUAGGCACACAAUUCAUUGCACUUUAUUCCUUCUUCCAGCCUUUUAGAAGCAAGCGUGCCCCUGUUCCUUGCCUUAACUCAAUUGCAGGUAGUUUCAUGUGCGCAAUUCGAUGCCUUAUCAAAUGCAAUCGCAUUUGCUGAAUUCCAGAAUUGCACACCAGUUUGUGUCCAGGUUCAGGUUUUGAUUGAUACAUACGUGGACAGCUCCUUGUUGUGUAAGCAUUACAAUCACUGGAUUUGUUGUUGGUUUUUUUAUCUACCCAUUAUGCACCUCUGUAUCUUUUUCUUAGAUGGAUCUACUUGUGCUUUAUGGACAGUUUGGCGAUAGAAGGGACAGUAUAGCAAUGAAACAUGUAAUCAUCUUCUUCUUUUUUGCCCUGUUGUGAUCUGUUUUGUUUGCUGCUGUCAUUUAUUUAACUGAAAAUUGCAUGCACCUUACUUCUCGCAAUCGAGCAUUGUAUCAUAUGCAUUUGCAGUUGUUUAAUACUCGAAUUGCAGCCCAAUAUGUUUGUUGCUUCACUUUGUAGAUUUUGACUUCUGUUUUCGUUGCGUAGAUUGGUCUACUUAUGAUGCAUGGACAGCUUGGUGAGGGAAGGCAGGGUUUCCCUUGAAUCGGGCAAUGAAUAGGUAUUUAUUUUAUCUUUUUGCGCAAUCGGGGUUCUUAUGAACUGCAAUUGCAGUUAUGUGUCUCUGGGUUUGCACACUAGCCAUUCUCGUUGUCGAUUUUGAUUUUUCGUCCCGCCACAUGUGCAAAUGCUGAACCAGUCUCAAUUUGCAUGUCGAUUACUGUAAUUGGUUUCUUAUGAAUUGCAAUUGCAUUUCUGUGUCUCUAGGUUUGCACAGUAGCAAUUCUCAUUGUCUAUGUUGGUUUUUCGUCCAGCCACAUGCCCAAAGGAAAUCGGUCUCAAUUUUGUAUGUCGAUUACUAUGCGCAAUUGGGGUUCUUAUGAACUUAGCAACAAUCCUAGCAAUGAAAACGAUAAUGUGUGUGAUAUAUUCAAUUCAUGUAGCAGUGCCAUUGCAACUUUUUACCUGAGCACCUUUAAAUCUGAACAGUUUUACUGUUGCAAUCUCAGUUCUUUAUAAAUGCAAUUGAAGUGGAUUUCUUUUGGAAUUGCAUCCCAAUUAUAAUGUUUUUUGCACCUGUAGCGGUGCCAUUGCAAUUAUUUAGCUAAGCACCUUUAUGUAACUUGUGUUCUAUGCUUGAUAUAAAAAGCAUCAAUGCUUUGACCCAUACUUUGAUCCCUCCUGUCUGAAACACAUUGUUGCCCUUGCUGAAAUUGUGCAUAAGCUAAAUUAUUUGAAUAUACCAGGGAUUGAUCAUCUGUUGAGGUUUUGCAUACAACUUGAAGAUAAUAAACACAGUUAACAUAGGGCAUAGAUCAUUUUUGUGUGGUUUGAUGUAGAGUUUUCUCUGCAGGUGCCCUUUAUAUAUGUAUAGCUUUUGUGUGCUGCAGUUUUUGUACAUGUGUUAGGGGGGACACAUUUUGGAACUGAAGCAAUUUAGCCUAACUAAUUCAUUUUGAAUGAACUGCAGGAAUCAAACCAUAUAAGGGGUGUUUUGGGGUGGGGCUGGGUGUUAGGGGCAUGAUACCUCAUCUAUAAGCUGGGUAUCUCCACCAAAUAUACUUUGUUGUGUAUUCGCAAGAAUCAGCAUCAUUGUGCUAAUAAAAUCACGGCAAUUUGUAGGUCAGUGAAUUUGUAAGUAACUAUUCUAGAAAUGAAUGAUUUGUUGUGUAUUCGCAAGAAUUGGAUUUGUAAAUGAAGAUAAUGUUCUUACUUAAUAUGUUUCAUUAUGGACUCAGUCCAGAACAUGAAUUUUUUGGUUUGAAUUUGUCACUCAAAAGUUCAGAAGACCGCCAAUGUGACUGCUAUUUGUUCAAUGAUCAGGCGACUGGUUAUAUGCAUGUAUCUUGUGUUUUGACCUUCAUUGUUUCAAGUGACUGCUUUCUACUCAA